UAAUACCGGAUUUCCAAAUACAACUUUAUUUACUUUUAUUUAACUGAUUACCCAUACAAACAAUCUUUCACGUCUAGCACUUUUAAAAAACAAUUUUACAUAUUAUGUUAUUAAAUUGUAUAGACAGAUAAUUAAUUUUCUAUACAAAUGUUAAAAUUUUAAAAAAAAAUACAAUUUUUUUUUAUGAUAAUAUGGCUUUUGUGCGUUGCAGAUGUAACGGGACGCAAUA